UUUUAUUCUGGCUCAGGACGAACGCGGGCGGCGUGCUUAACACAUGCAAGUCGAACGGAAAGGCCCUUCGGGGUACUCGAGUGGCGAACGGGUGAGUAACACGUGGGUGAUCUGCCCUGCACUUUGGGAUAAGCCUGGGAAACUGGGUCUAAUACCGAAUAUGACCACGCGCUUCAUGGUGUGUGGUGGAAAGCUUUUGCGGUGUGGGAUGGGCCCGCGGCCUAUCAGCUUGUUGGUGGGGUAAUGGCCUACCAAGGCGACGACGGGUAGCCGGCCUGAGAGGGUGACCGGCCACACUGGGACUGAGAUACGGCCCAGACUCCUACGGGAGGCAGCAGUGGGGAAUAUUGCACAAUGGGCGCAAGCCUGAUGCAGCGACGCCGCGUGAGGGAUGACGGCCUUCGGGUUGUAAACCUCUUUCAAUAGGGACGAAGCGCAAGUGACGGUACCUAUAGAAGAAGGACCGGCCAACUACGUGCCAGCAGCCGCGGUAAUACGUAGGGUCCGAGCGUUGUCCGGAAUUACUGGGCGUAAAGAGCUCGUAGGUGGUUUGUCGCGUUGUUCGUGAAAACUCACAGCUUAACUGUGGGCGUGCGGGCGAUACGGGCAGACUAGAGUACUGCAGGGGAGACUGGAAUUCCUGGUGUAGCGGUGGAAUGCGCAGAUAUCAGGAGGAACACCGGUGGCGAAGGCGGGUCUCUGGGCAGUAACUGACGCUGAGGAGCGAAAGCGUGGGGAGCGAACAGGAUUAGAUACCCUGGUAGUCCACGCCGUAAACGGUGGGUACUAGGUGUGGGUUUCCUUCCUUGGGAUCCGUGCCGUAGCUAACGCAUUAAGUACCCCGCCUGGGGAGUACGGCCGCAAGGCUAAAACUCAAAGGAAUUGACGGGGGCCCGCACAAGCGGCGGAGCAUGUGGAUUAAUUCGAUGCAACGCGAAGAACCUGUACCUGGGUUUGACAUGCACAGGACGAC
rnacentral:rRNA from 1 species